CCUACGGGAGGCAGCAGUGAGGAAUAUUGGUCAAUGGGCUUACGCCUGAACCAGCCAAGUCGCGUGAGGGAAGACUGCCCUAUGGGUUGUAAACCUCUUUUGUAAGGGAGCAAUUGACGCUACGUGUAGCGUUAUCGAGAAUACCUGAAGAAAAAGCAUCGGCCAACUCCGUGACAGCAGCCGCGGUAAUACGGAGGAUGCGAGCGUUAUCAGGAUGUAUUGGGUUUAAGGGGUGCGUAGGCGGAAUGCCAAGGCAACGGUAACAUCGCGGGGCUCAACCUCGCUCCGCCGUUGAAACUGGCGUUCUUGAGUGGGCGAGAAGUAUGCGGAAUGCGUGGUGUAGCGGUGAAAUGCAUAGAUAUCACGCAGAACUCCGAUUGCGAAGGCAGCAUACCGGCGCCCAACUGACGCUGAAGCACGAAAGCGUGGGUAUCGAACAGGAUUAGAUACCCUUGUAGUC
rnacentral:rRNA from 1 species